UACAGAGGUCCCAAGCGUUGUUCGGAUUCAUUGGGCGUAAAGGGUGCGUAGGCGGCAGGGUAAGUCUGGUGUGAAAUCCCGGGGCUCAACCCCGGAACUGCACUGGAUACUGCUUUGCUAGAGUACUGGAGAGGGAACUGGAAUUUACGGUGUAGCAGUGAAAUGCGUAGAUAUCGUGAGGAAGACCAGUGGCGAAGGCGAGUUCCUGGACAGUUACUGACGCUGAGGCACGAAGGCCAGGGGAGCAAACGGG
rnacentral:rRNA from 1 species